rnacentral:rRNA from 1 species
AUUGAACGCUGGCGGCAUGCCUUACACAUGCAAGUCGAACGGCAGCACGGGAGCAAUCCUGGUGGCGAGUGGCGAACGGGUGAGUAAUAUAUCGGAACGUGCCCAGUCGUGGGGAUAACGUAGCGAAAGCUACGCUAAUACCGCAUACGAUCUACGGAUGAAAGCGGGGGGAUCGCAAGACCUCGCGCGAUUGGAGCGGCCGAUAUCAGAUUAGGUAGUUGGUGAGGUAAAGGCUCACCAAGCCGACGAUCUGUAGCUGGUCUGAGAGGACGACCAGCCACACUGGGACUGAGACACGGCCCAGACUCCUACGGAGGCAGCAGUGGGGAAUUUUGGACAAUGGGCGCAAGCCUGAUCCAGCAAUGCCGCGUGCAGGAUGAAGGCCUU